GGGAUCUUCCCGGACCAGGUCUCGAACCCAUGUUCCCCGCACUGCCAGGUGGAUUCUUAACCACUGUGCCACCAGGGAAGUCUCUGAUUGUACAGUUUUAAAUGUAACGUAAUAGAAACCACAGGUGUACGUAUUUCAGUGUUUUCUGAGCUAUGAGGAAGUGGGGUCACUUCACAAGACAUAGCUCGCCUGUGCUGCCUCUUCAGAAUGAAGAUGCGACCUGCAGGCUCCCCUCCGGGGUGGGUCAGGAUAAGACACUCAGGCUCUAUGCAGGGAGCCGUGUUGUCACGUCCUGGCUGAUCCUGGGGCGUUGUCGCAUGACCCCCGGGCCAGAGCUGGAAAGGGGGUCUCACCCCAGCAAAGCCUCCGUCAGGGGAAGCUGCUCACCUUUAAAAGUGAGAAGUGGACCCCGUGCCAUCAGAGCACAGAGUUCUCUGGAAUUACCUGGGGCAGCAGGGGAGGAAGGUGGCCCAGGCCUCUGGGGUCUGGAGGGCUGGCCUGUGCAGCCCCUCCCGAUCAACCUAAGGGGCCGACCUGCAGGAUGGAGCCCUGAGGAACCAGGUACGAGGCAAACUCAGGGUCACUAACGCUUUUCCAAGAGAUGGCAGUCUCUGAAUGUGAAGGACAACGGCCGAGUCCCCCGACCAUUGUGGGAAAUGCAGUCGUUUGCAGGGCUGAGGAGAGGGCGGUGGGCAGCUGUGCCUCCUGCACGUGAGACCCCCGCCUGGUCCUGCACUGAGGGUAGGUGCUCCUUGAGUGGGACCCUGGGUGACUUUCCUGGCACUGGGUCAGAUAGCACAUCCUCCCGGGUAGCUGCCGCUCACGUUUCUGCUGUUCCCCACGGGCUCUGGCGACCACUGCUCUGUGCUCUCAGAUGCUGCGUUUCUCACAAAUCCGAGGUUCGUGGCAGUCCUGCGUUGAGCAAACCUGGUGCCGAUUCUUCAACUGCAUUUACUCACUUUGUCGUGUCUUAGUUAUUCUUAGUGUUUCAAACUUUCAUUAGUUGAUGUGUGACAGUGAUUUUAUUGAUUCUGAUUUGGAAAACUCAGGUGCUGGUUAGUGUUUUUUAGCGAUGAAGUGUUAAGGUGUAUAUAGGCUGUUCAGAUGUAAGUCUGUAUACAUAACAGAUUGAAACAUAGUGUGAACAAGCUUUAUAUGCACCGGGACACCCACCAAGUCAUGUGAUUCGUGUUAUUGUGAUCAGUUUCCGGUGAUGGAGAGAUCUUGGAUUCACAUCUGAGGUCUGCCUGUCACACGCCCUGGGGGAGCCUGUGGAGCUCUGGGAACAGGACUGGGGCUCCAGGAACACUGUGUCCCCCUGCACCCUGUAGAAGGGACAGCCUGGACUAGUGUGACAGAAGUGACAAGUGGUCUGGAGCAGAGGAGGGUCACAGUCUCUCCUGGACCAAACUGGCUGGGCUUCUCUGAGCAGUUCCCAACUAGGCCCUGACCCUUCAGGCUUCAGCGUCUGGAUUUUCAUGGUUCAUUUUAGCAAGAUUCCUGUUGUGUCAGAGCUCCCCAGGCUCAACUUCUGACCGCCAUCAACAUCUGACUGGAUCCCUCAUCCGCCUUCCUCCCCUACUGAGGCCUCACUCUCCGGUCUGCCCUCAGCAUGAAUCCUGUACGUCGGUUCAGUGCUGUGAUCGGAAUGUGUAUCCCCCAAGCUCCUGUCGAAUCCUAAUGCCUGACGUGAUGGUGUUGGCCUUUGGGAGGUGAUGAUGUCAUGAGGGUGGAGCCCCUGUGAAUGGGAUUAGUACCCUGAUAAGAGCCCCCAGCGAGCCCCCAGCCCUUCCCCCAUGUGAGGACAUAGGGAGAAGACGCUGUCUGUGAACCAGGAAGAAGCCUCACCAGACGUUGAAUCUGCCGUCGCCUUGAUCCUGGACGUCCAGUCUCUGGGUGGUGAGGACUCGACUCGUGUUUAAGCCCACAGUCUGGUCCUGUUAGAGCAGCUCAGACAGACACCUCCACCCCUGCUGUUUCCUCUGACUUCCCGUUGGUGGCACCACCCUGCUCCCGGCUGUCACCCCCGCAGUGGGAGAAGCGAGAAGUGUUAACACCUGUUUCUGAAUUUGUUGGUCGUAACAGUACCAGUGCCUGGAACCCUGGCCUGUAACUGGGGGAACGAAUCAAACAGUGGAAUCGAGGACGAUGCCAGGAGUUGUGACGUAAACAGGCAGUAAAGAUGAAGCUGAAGGAAGACAGGCUGUCGAAGAGAAAAUCAAAGCCUAUUUGGGUUGAAGUGGAGCCCGACACCUGCCCAACACGGGGGACGAGAUGUUCGAGGGAAGCUGGCUGUGCAGCCGGGGCAGAGGUAAAACCUGGGAGCCUGUGGGGAACAGAUGUAGCUGAAAGCUGGGCUGGGGGCGCCCGUGGGGGGCACGAUGGGAGAGGUUGGGAGAUGGGGGAAAGCAGUGGGAGGACGGAAGGAUGAAGACCGUCAUGUUCAGGACCCCCAGGAGGAGCCUCACGAAGGGGGAGCGAGCGAGUGAACGCCGUCAGGGUCCAGUACCAGUGCCCAUGGGGCGGGGCGGGGUGGCGGGAGGUGGUGAGGGAGCCAGGCCUGUCGAUGAGGGGACAGAGGGCGCGGGGGGCUGCGUGUGUGGGAGAUCCUUGCCGGGUGUUCCGAGGAGAGGGAAAGUGGCGGUUGGAGGAGUGAACUCCCGGGACCUCUCAGUGUCGGGAGCUGUCGCUGCGUUUGUGGGGUAACCUUCAUAAAGCAGAAGAGGAAAUGGUUAGGUGCAGGGAGAGGGCAGGGCGGCUGCUGAGAAAGGCCUGGACGGGCCCCUGGCGCCAGCGCGAAGAGGCCUUAGACGGGUGCGGACGGGGCCCUCGAGGCAGCGGGAGAUGGUGAACUUGAAGGUGAGAAUAUCUGGAUGUUCUCUUCGGUGCAGAGGCUCAGAUCCCCCUCCCCGCCGCCUGGGCUCUGAUCUCCCUCCCCGCCGCCUGGGCUCUGAUCUCUGAGACCCUCCGGAUACCCUCCUUUUACAGGGCCGACUUGAUCUGCCUCUGACCGUGGUGGGUCCCAGCUCCUGCUCUGUCCUCCCCAAACCCCAGCCUGUAUCCACACAGGUGCAGACUACUCCCGGGUGCACAGUAAACACUCGUGUACCCAGUAGCGUGUACACAUGGUAAAACCUUUACCUCUGAGAUCUUGUUUUUUGUGUCCUACCCAUAAAUACCCAGAAGCAGGAUUUCAGGGUCGUGGGGCAGGUCUGUUAGCUUCCUGAGCAACCUCCCCAGUCUGACAGAAAGAGACCAGGUGAUGCAGGAGGUGGACACCUGGAAUGACCCCCAGGCUGGGCAGCUCCGUGACCCUGCUGGGCGGGGCCUGGGGGAAGCUGAGUGGGGAGGGUGGUGGGAUGCAGGAGGGUGGGCCGUGGGGCUGUGUGUGG